rnacentral:rRNA from 1 species
UGGGCGAGAGACCGAUAGCAAACAAGUACCGCGAGGGAAAGAUGAAAAGGACUUUGAAAAGAGAGUCAAAGAGUGCUUGAAAUUGUCGGGAGGGAAGCGAAUGGGGGCCGGCGAUGCGGCCCGGUCGGAUGUGGAACGGCGANAGCCGGUCCGCCAAUCGACUCGGGGCGUGGAUCGGUGCGGAUUGGGACGGAGGCCAAAGCCCAGGAAGUCGUUAAGCCUGCGGAGACGCCUUCGCCCCGAUCGUGGCUGGCAGCGCGCGCCCUGCGGGCGUGCCACGGCAUCUGCGCGCUCCCGG